UUAUCCGGGCUUGAGACCGACUAAGCACAAACUACUUAAGCAGAGUUUCCACCCAAUGGAAGUCCACUGACAUAAAAUCAAAAAAUCAUGUUACCAUAUAUCAUAUGUCAUGAUGAGAGCACAUAAGUCUGCAGCAGCUAGUGGUCAUGGCUUAAACACAAAACUUCUCAUCAAGCUUUUAUUUGCUUAAACAUAGUCUUUGUUCAGAAUUUCCAAUACUUUAAUCCACCACGUCUUUAAAAUAGCCAUUUUUCAAGUGGUCAUAAUUGUGGUAAAAAUAAGACAGCUCUAUUGUAUGAUUUAUCAAUGUCUGCUGGUCAAAAUCUACAUAACAAACCAAAAUGCAAUGGCAAUCAGUAAAAUGAAAAACAGGACACAAUGCAGCCAACCAAUCUCUCACAUCUGCAUUUGGAUACAAGCACAUGCACUUAGGCAAAUCAAACCUGAAUCUCCUUUCUGUU
rnacentral:misc_RNA from 1 species